rnacentral:rRNA from 1 species
UACGAAGGGGGCUAGCGUUGCUCGGAAUCACUGGGCGUAAAGCGCACGUAGGCGGCUUCUUAAGUCAGGGGUGAAAUCCUGGAGCUCAACUCCAGAACUGCCUCUGAUACUGAGGAGCUCGAGUCCGGGAGAGGUGAGUGGAACUCCGAGUGUAGAGGUGAAAAUUCGUAGAUAUUCGGAAGAACACCAGUGGCGAAAGGUGGCUCACUGG